UACGUAGGGACCAAGCGUUGUUCGGAUUUACUGGGCGUAAAGGGCGCGUAGGCGGCGUGACAAGUCACUUGUGAAAUCUCCGGGCUUAACUCGGAACGGCCAAGUGAUACUGUCGUGCUAGAGUGCAGAAGGGGCAAUCGGAAUUCUUGGUGUAGCGGUGAAAUGCGUAGAUAUCAAGAGGAACACCUGAGGUGAAGACGGGUUGCUGGGCUGACACUGACGCUGAGGCGCGAAAGCCAGGGGAGCGAACGGG
rnacentral:rRNA from 1 species